UGGGGAAUCUUGCGCAAUGGGCGAAAGCCUGACGCAGCGACGCCGCGUGCGGGAGGAAGGCCUUAGGGUUGUAAACCGCUUUCAGGUGGGACGAAGCCACUCGGGUGAAUAGCCCAGAGGGUGACGGUACCUCCAGAAGAAGCCCCGGCUAACUACGUGCCAGCAGCCGCGGUAAUACGUAGGGGGCAAGCGUUGUCCGGAUUUAUUGGGCGUAAAGCGCGUGUAGGCGGCUUGGGUAGGGUCCGCUGUGAAAACUCGAGGCUCAACCUCGAGCUGUCGGUGGAAACCACCUUGCUAGAGUCCGGAAGAGGAGAGUGGAAUUCCUGGUGUAGCGGUGAAAUGCGCAGAUAUCAGGAAGAACACCAAUGGCGAAGGCAGCUCUCUGGGACGGUACUGACGCUGAGACGCGAAAGCGUGGGGAGCGAACAGGAUUAGAUACCCUGGUAGUCCACGCCGUAAACGAUGGGUGCUAGGUGUGGGCGGUGUCGACUCCGUCCGUGCCGAAGCUAACGCAUUAAGCACCCCGCC
rnacentral:rRNA from 1 species